CCUGCCCCUGGAUGCACUGCAGAAGUGGCUGCUGUGUCACAUAUGCAACAGUAGGUGGCAGAACAGAGAAAGGCUAUGUUUACACUAAAUUUUCUGACCUAUAAAUAUCUGAAUGAUUAAAAAUCUAAUAUU
ensembl:snoRNA Gm25653 small nucleolar RNA SNORA17